rnacentral:lncRNA from 1 species
UCCCUGAUUGUGUCUCCGAGCUCCCCACAGGGUUGGGAACGGAACGCUGCUUGCUCCCUAGUAGAGCUGGCUAAGAGACCAGUGAGAGCAAGCAAGCGUGGAUCUGAAGCCUCCAAGGCGCCACCGAACAUCCGUUCCUUGACAAUCUCAGCAACCACACUCGCUGGGGACUGAUGAGUGAUAUCCUCUGCGUUCAGAAUGUCGUUGUCAGGAGCGGACAACAGUGGUAUCACGGGGACCUCCU